AAAUAUAUAUAUAAACAUUUGUCACCCCAGUGAUUGUCAGGGCUGAUAUGGCUAAUCUGGCUGUCUAGGUGAGUGUCCCCUUCCUCCUUCACUGCUCCGUGUGCGUCCCCUCCCAAAGCUGGGCACCCAGUGGAAAAGAAUGGCCAUCCCAGAUGGAAGGUGUGUAUGUAGUAUAAAAAGCAUAUUUNAAAAAAUGAACAGACCAUCAUGUACAAGAAGAUGUGGCCUUAGGU
rnacentral:sRNA from 1 species